rnacentral:rRNA from 1 species
GACGAACGCUGGCGGCGUGCCUAAUACAUGCAAGUCGAGCGAAUCACUAGGAGCUUGCUCCUGGUGGUUAGCGGCGGACGGGUGAGUAACACGUGGGCAACCUGCCUGUAAGACUGGGAUAACACCGGGAAACCGAUGCUAAUACCGGAUAAUCCUCUUCCUCUCAUGAGGAAAUGCUGAAAGUCGGUUUCGGCUGACACUUACAGAUGGGCCCGCGGCGCAUUAGCUAGUUGGUAGGGUAAUGGCCUACCAAGGCGACGAUCCGUAGCUGGUCGGAGAGGAUGACGAGCCACACUGGGACUGCGACACGGCCCAGACUCCUACGGGAGGCAGCAGUGGGGAAUUUUGGACAAUGGGCGCAAGCCUGAUCCAGCCAUGCCGCGGGCAGGAUGAAGGCCGUCGGGUUGUAAACUGCUUUUGUACGGAGCGAAAAGACUCUGGUUAAUACCUGGGGUCCAUGACGGUACCGUAAGAAUAAGCACCGGCUAACUACGUGCCAGCCGCCGCAGUAAAAC